UACAGAGGUCUCAAGCGUUGUUCGGAUUCAUUGGGCGUAAAGGGUGCGUAGGCGGCGCGGUAAGUCGGGUGUGAAAUCUCGGAGCUUAACUCCGAAACUGCAUUCGAUACUGCCGUGCUUGAGGACUGGAGAGGAGACUGGAAUUUACGGUGUAGCGGUGAAAUGCGUAGAUAUCGAGAGGAACACCUGCGGCGAAGGCGGGUUGCUGGGCCGACACUGACGCUGAUGCGCGAAAGCCAGGGGAGCAAACGGG
rnacentral:rRNA from 1 species